UGGAGUAUAGCCACGAUGUAAGGCAUCGGUUUUUGGUAUCGGCAUGCAAAGGUUCGAAUCCUUUUACUCCAG
rnacentral:tRNA from 1 species